UUUUGAAGGGGUUGUCUUCUUCCAGGCAUUGAUUCUCUGCUGCUCAAAUGCAGAAUAAAAGUCAAGAUGCAUCUCUGACUCUGGUUGGGUGCUGAUAGUUUCCGGCAUCCUGUUUUCCACAUUGUAGAGAUGACAUUUCUGACAGUAUCUGUGCCUUUGUCCAGUGAGGUGUGGUCUUUUGGAUCCUGAAAGACAUUUUGGUGAAAGGGAAAAAGUGAUCGAGAUUUAUGACAGACCGUGCUGCAGGAGUGUACCUUGUUCAGUCGAUAUUCACAUGUAAUGGGAUGUAGAGGUGCAACCCCCCUCAACACAAAAUGAAGUCUCCCCUAACUGGUACUCCUUCUUUUGGAGUUCUGAUCCUCUGUUUAUUCUCAGAACUUUUCAAACAUUUCCAAUGAAACCCCUCUCUCUCUUUCUCUUUCUCUAGGGCCUUGGUUCCUUAAAAUAUUGUCAAAUUAUAUGCAGGUUCAGAUUCUGAAUAGUAUCGCCACGGUUUUGGAGUUUUAUAAUUUCUACAUUAAUAUUUUAAUGAGUAUUUCACUUAUAACCUAAGUAAAUUUUCAUUUGCGUUUGUGGAGUGCUAACAGAACUGCUCCCACACCUGUUCUGCCUAUUGAACUGAACAGCAGGUCGUAUACAGAGCAUAAAUUUCAUUACAAAUUUUAAAGCGUUGAGAAAACAUACCCAACUUUGUUUUGUAGUCUUUACAAGCUUUACUUAUCAUCCUGUUUUGUAGGGGGACAUCAUGCGGACCUUUAGAGUUAUAUGUGUAUAUGUGUGUCUAGUCAUAAGGUGCAGUGCGUCAACAGUGCCUAUCUGAAACUCUUUACGUCCAGUACCAAGGGCAACGGCUGAGGGCUUUCAUCGCGAUACUCACACCUCUCCCUAGCACAGACGCUGUGGGAUGGUUGUCGAGACCUAGCGGUCUAUCCUACAACCGGUGUUCCCCAUGCCUGGCGGGUUUGACUUUGUCCCGCCAUUGAUUGAUUAAAUCCUUUUUGUAAACCCUUUAACCCGCAGGAAUCACCGUGUUUUUGUUUUCUUGCAUUGGCCGCCGGCUUGUUUUGGCGCCCGCUGAUGUUAUCAGAAACAAGCCUGCACUCAUGUGCAUCCAUGUAAUCUCUUGGUGUCCGAGAAACACUGAUGUCCUCUUUCACAAGCGGUAAACGUUUCUGGAAAAGAGCUUUUAAUGAAUUCUGAAAUGCGGAGAGAAAUGUACAGAAAGAAAGUUGUUUGGAGAAGCUAUCCACGAUGAACCAUUACCAAAUAUCAGUGCUGUGUGUGUGACAACAAAUGGCACGUACAAUCAGCAGCUCGUGAACCCUGUCGUUUGCGUGACAGACAUACAAGACGAUCCAGUUAUCAAGCUUGUCUAACACGAUGACCCUGUAAUAAGAGGAAGGGUUUGGGGGACGCGAUUACAGAUUAGUGGUUCGAACUUCGCCAAGAUCUUUUCGAUCUCAGGUCAACCUCCUCAAGCUGAGAGGUGCCAUUUAGAAGCCAGACCGCAGGAGAUUGACGAUCGAGGCAUUUGUGAGGUCGAGCGUUUUCUCUCUCCCACCCGUGUUUGCCCUUUUCUAACAUGGGCGUUAAGAAUUUACACGCGCGCGUGCACACACACACACAGGGAGAGAGAGAGAUGAGGAUGUUGCUCCAUGACAUGGACGCCGCACUAAACAAUCAAAUCACAUUUUUACAAAGUUUUUCUGCAAAUGUGUAAUGAAAGCUUUCUCAGAGACGAUUAACGCUGACAACGUAAUGUUCUUUCAAUGAUGACACAUAAUAUGUAGGGUGGGCGCACAUGCUAACGGUGUGCUAAAUGUCCCUCGAUCUACUGCUCGAAAAAAAAUUAAUUAAAUUCAUUUUCUAUUGUUAGUAAUGUUAACAAUGGGCGACUGCUGUCCAACAAGCGUUUCCUGCGACUUACAAGCUGAUUGCCAUUUUUAAACACACCUAUUAUCACACUCGCUUCCAACAACAACCCCUUCCGACUAUAGCUGGUCCCAUAACUGUCACCCCGCGCACUAUGGAGGUAUUUAUUAGUUCCAGAUCUGGAGAAGCUGUUUCAAGAGGAACAAAAGGUUCACGAAGUGCAUGAGGGAAAAUGAAAACAGGCGAUGUAUGAGAGCACUUGAUCCCACCUCCCCAUCACACUUCUGGUGUCACUCCCCGACCACCACCACACAUACAAAGUGCCCACUGUUCACUCGUGCCUUCACCUGGCAAUUAAUACAGCGAACCCGUUAAAACACCGAUAUAUGACGUCACAAGGUAUUCACGUUGCACGUCGUUCUCUCGUUCAUUUCCUCCCCACUCUAGUCCACACCCAAUAAAUAAAUCUGAACAGUUCUCAAAAACAACAACAAUGACAAAAAAAUGCAGCUUUGUCCAGAUACUUCUGUAUCCGAGAUCGCGAAAGUGAAUAGACAGGGACUGGUUAAUGUUUCCCAGCCCUCUUCGAAAAAUUUAACACGAAACUUGAUAAUUACGGAGUGCGAAUGUAGUUCCCGGCCUACCCAUG